UACGUAGGGUGCAAGCGUUGUCCGGAAUUAUUGGGCGUAAAGAGCUCGUAGGCGGUUUGUUGCGUCGGCUGUGAAAUCCCGAGGCUCAACCUCGGGUCUGCAGUCGAUACGAGCAAACUAGAGUGUUGCAGGGGAGACUGGAAUUCCUGGUGUAGCGGUGAAAUGCGCAGAUAUCAGGAGGAACACCGGUGGCGAAGGCGGUUCUCUGGGCCUUACCUGACGCUGGAGGAGCGAAAGCGUGGGGAGCGAACAGG
rnacentral:rRNA from 1 species